rnacentral:rRNA from 1 species
GGCUCAGGACGAACGCUGGCGGCGUGCCUAAUACAUGCAAGUCGAACGGUCUUUCUAUGGAAGCUUGCUUCCACUGAGAAGAUAGUGGCGAACGGGUGAGUAACACGUGGGUAACCUGCCCAUAAGAGGGGGAUAACAUCCGGAAACGGGUGCUAAUACCGCAUAGUUUUCUUGAUCGCAUGAUCGGGAAAGGAAAGACGGCCUUUGUGCUGUCGCUUAUGGAUGGACCCGCGGCGUAUUAGUUAGUUGGUGAGGUAAUGGCUCACCAAGACGAUGAUACGUAGCCGACCUGAGAGGGUGAUCGGCCACAUUGGGACUGAGACACGGCCCAAACUCCUACGGGAGGCAGCAGUAGGGAAUCUUCCGCAAUGGACGAAAGUCUGACGGAGCAACGCCGCGUGAGUGAAGAAAAGGUUUUCGGAUCGUAAAACUCUGUUGUCAGAGAAGAACAAGUUGGAGAGUAACUGCUCCAGCCUUGACGGUAUCUGACCAGAAAGCCACGGCUAACUACGUGCCAGCAGCGGC